rnacentral:rRNA from 1 species
UGGGGAAUAUUGCACAAUGGGGGAAACCCUGAUGCAGCGACGCCGCGUGAGGGAAGAAGGUUUUCGGAUUGUAAACCUCUGUCCUUGGUGACGAAAAUGACGGUAGCCAAGGAGGAAGCCACGGCUAACUACGUGCCAGCAGCCGCGGUAAUACGUAGGUGGCAAGCGUUGUCCGGAAUUACUGGGUGUAAAGGGAGCGUAGGCGGGAAGAUAAGUUGGACGUCUAAUCUAUCGGCUCAACCGAUAGUCGCGUUCAAAACUGUUUUUCUUGAGUGAAGUAGAGGUAAGCGGAAUUCCUAGUGUAGCGGUGAAAUGCGUAAAUAUUAGGAGGAACACCAGUGGCGAAGGCGGCUUACUGGGCUUUAACUGACGCUGAGGCUCGAAAGCGUGGGUAGCAAACA